UACAGAGGGGGCAAGCGUUAUUCGGAAUUAUUGGGCGUAAAGGGCGCGUAGGCGGCCAUUCAAGUGACGGGUGAAAGCCCUCGGCUUAACCGAGGAACUGCCUGUCAGACUGGAUGGCUUGAGACCGGGAGAGGUGAGUGGAAUUCCCAGUGUAGCGGUGAAAUGCGUAGAUAUUGGGAGGAACACCGGUGGCGAAGGCGGCAUCCUGGACCAAUAUUGACGCUGAGGAGCGAAAGCCAGGGGAGCAAACGGG
rnacentral:rRNA from 1 species